UACUAUGAACAAAAUUUUUCCGAACUUUUGUUACAGAUAGACCUCAGCCGAGCUACUCCGUGGUGAGGAGAUUUCAGAUGAACUUCUACAAAGGGACACUACUCCGAUUUUCCACGAUGACUGAUCCUCACCCGAGCUCCUACAACAAAUGGCCCCCUUUCGACCACUCGCGAGAAUCGGAUCCCAUCCAAACUCCUCCAGC
rnacentral:lncRNA from 1 species